rnacentral:rRNA from 1 species
UACGUAGGGACCAAGCGUUGUUCGGAUUUACUGGGCGUAAAGGGCGCGUAGGCGGCGUGACAAGUCACUUGUGAAAUCUCCGGGCUUAACUCGGAACGGCCAAGUGAAACUGUCAUGCUAGAGUGCAGAAGGGGCAAUCGGAAUUCUCGGUGUAGCGGUGAAAUGACGUAGAUAUCGAGAGGAACACCUGCGGCGAAGGCGGGUAGCUGGGCCGACACGUGACGCUGAUGCGCGAAAGCCAGGGGAGCGAACGGG